GAGCGCCGGCGGCUGGCGGGAUGACGUGGCGACUCGCUGAAGAGCCAUUGAGAAAAAGACAGGAUGUCUGUGGGAGGAGAGAUGGAGAGAGUGCAAGGUCAAGAGAGGCGGAGGUGGAGGAGGAGGUGGAGGGGUGGGUGGGAUGUAAUUAUGCGUCCCCUCUCUGGCGUUAUCUCCACCUCGUGUCUCCUUCUGUUAGUCUCAGCAUCCAACGCUCCGGAGCGUCUCCGCUUCCGCCACACUUUUUAUCUCUCCUUAUCCCCCGUUUUAUCUCCUUCCCUCCGUCAGCGCCACCUCCUCCUCCUCCUCCUCCUCCUUCCUUCCUUCCUGCACUCCUCUCUUCCCGUUUUCACAGUUCCUCUUUCUGUCACUCCUCUCAUAUCCCAACAUCUUUCCCCUUCAUGCAUCCAUGAUCUGUUUUCAGCCUCAUGUCAGCGCUCCAAAUUUGGGAAAAAAAUGACAAUUUGUCCAAAUCAGAAUCUAUGACCAGUAAAUAGGAAAUCCUACAGUCCAAUAUGAAAUCCACUUGUUUAAAUAUUUCUUUUUUUAACCUUUAAUUUUCUCGGAGAACACCGUAGCCUGAAAUAACUGAGUUGAGAGAAUCGUGGGAGAUUCAUGACAUCAUUCAAGAUGGCCGCCCCCAUCGAUCGCUCUUCAUUUCGGUUGUUUUCAGUUUUAACUGAGCUUUGGACACUGCUUGUCCAGAUAUUUGGUUUUUGGUGAGUGAUGGCAGCUUUCAGCUCGUACGAAACAAACAGCAGCGCCAACUCGUGGCCCAACAUACUAACUGCAACGCUGUCAGUGUUUCUGCUGUUUCCGUGGAAACGGACAUCGCUUCCGAAACGUUGCAGUGUAAAUGAGAGAAUUUUCUGAAUGGAAAACGUGUAAAUAUCCAUAUUCAAUAUUCAAAUCCCACUGUUUUCUUUUCACUCUCAUCUCACCUCAUCUCUCCAUUUCUCCCCCUCCUUUAAUUCUUAUCCUCGUUUUAUGCAAAGCGCCAUCUUUUCCCAGGGACACUUUCCCCUCUGCUUUCAUUUCCUCCCUCAUAUCUUGUCGUCAUGUCAUGGCGCCCGGCCUCUUCACCUCCUGCCGUUCAGCCCCUCAUCGCUCCGUCGCUCCCUCCGUCCGUCCUCCGCCGCUCUGCCAGGGAGGAACAGGUGGCUUCGCCGCUGCUGUGCCACUCGGUGGCUUCCUGCCUGAAAACGGGGAGCGGCGGGGGGAAUGGAGGCCCGUGUCGGCGUCCCCGCUUCUCCUCUCGGGGGCUUUUAAACAUGUGAUGGACGGAAGGAGGAGGAGGAGGAGGAGGAGGAGGGAGCCGACUGAAGGCUGUGAUUUUCCAGAUUGAGAGCAGCAGGUGCUUCAGUGUGAGGCACUUACAGAGGCGAACAUGCACUUAAUGAUAAGAGCUGCUGAGAUAUUUCUGUGCCCACAGCAGCAUGGCAUCAUGUCCGGGUCUCAGAAACAGCCCAGAAACAAGUC